CUAGAUGUUGUCUAUAUGUGCUUUGGUGACACUUUCCAUGAUUGAUGGACUAAAUAUGACUUGACCGGCGGACUUAAUCAAUCUUGAAAUGUCAUUGAAUAUCUAAUAGGUUAUGAUAUGGCACUCUCUGAGCCGGCUUUUAUGUUAGGUGCUGAUUGCCAUGUGCACUGUCUUUUGGACAUGCAUUAUUAUUCUGAGAUAGUGAUCUGCUAAUGCCUCACUCUCUCACUUCUCUACGGAAACUACUGGCCCUUCCACCGCAUUGGGUGGGCUCUUACUACUGGAUUUAUGAUGUGGACUGACCUCACAGGAUGAUUUCUCUA
rnacentral:sRNA from 1 species